rnacentral:rRNA from 1 species
UUGUUAGAUGCGAUGGGGGGACGGAUCGCGGAAGGUUGUCCGGGUGUUGGAAGUCCCGGUCGCUGCAUUGGAGAAGGCGCUUAGGCAAAUCCGGGCGCAGGAUUCAAGGGUGUGGCGCGAGCGACUUAGGUCGCGAAGCAAUUGGAAGUGGUUCCAAGAAAAGCCUCUAAGCUUCAGUCUAACGAUGACCGUACCGCAAACCGACACAGGUGGGCGAGAUGAGUAUUCUAAGGCGCUUGAGAGAACUCGGGAGAAGGAACUCGGCAAAUUGGUACCGUAACUUCGGGAUAAGGUACGCCCUGGUAGCUUGACUGGCCUGCGCCAGAAGGGUGAAGGGGUUGCAAUAAACUGGUGGCUGCGACUGUUUAAUAAAAACACAGCACUCUGCAAACACGAAAGUGGACGUAUAGGGUGUGACGCCUGCCCGGUGCCGGAAGAUUAAAUGAUGGGGUGCAAGCUCUUGAUUGAAGUCCCGGUAAACGGCGGCCGUAACUAUAACGGUCCUAAGGUAGCGAAAUUCCUUGUCGGGUAAGUUCCGACCUGCACGAAUGGCGUAACGAUGGCCACACUGUCUCCUCCCGAGACUCAGCGAAGUUGAAGUGUUUGUGAUGAUGCAAUCUACCCGCGGCUAGACGGAAAGACCCCAUGAACCUUUACUGUAGCUUUGCAUUGGACUUUGAACCGAUCUGUGUAGGAUAGGUGGGAGGCUAUGAAACCGGAACGCUAGUUUCGGUGGAGCCGUCCUUGAAAUACCACCCUGGUUUGUUUGAGGUUCUAACCUUGGCCCGUGAUCCGGGUCGGGGACAGUGCAUGGUAGGCAGUUUGACUGGGGCGGUCUCCUCCCAAAGCGUAACGGAGGAGUACGAAGGUACGCUAGGUACGGUCGGAAAUCGUGCUGAUAGUGCAAUGGCAUAAGCGUGCUUAACUGCGAGACCGACAAGUCGAGCAGGUGCGAAAGCAGGUCAUAGUGAUCCGGUGGUUCUGUAUGGAAGGGCCAUCGCUCAACGGAUAAAAGGUACUCUGGGGAUAACAGGCUGAUACCGCCCAAGAGUUCAUAUCGACGGCGGUGUUUGGCACCUCGAUGUCGGCUCAUCUCAUCCUGGGGCUGUAGCCGGUCCCAAGGGUAUGGCUGUUCGCCAUUUAAAGAGGUACGUGAGCUGGGUUUAAAACGUCGUGAGACAGUUUGGUCCCUAUCUGCCGUGGGCGUUGGAAGUUUGAAGGGGGCUGCUCCUAGUACGAGAGGACCGGAGUGGACGAACCUCUGGUGUACCGGUUGUGACGCCAGUCGCAUCGCCGGGUAGCUAUGUUCGGAAGAGAUAACCGCUGAAAGCAUCUAAGCGGGAAACUCUCCUUAAGAUGAGACUUCCCCGGGGACUUGAUCCCCUUGAAGGGUCGUUCGAGACCAGGACGUUGAUAGGUCGGGUGUGUAAGCGCAGUAAUGCGUUCAGCUAACCGAUACUAAUUGCCCGUACGGCUUGAUCCU